CCUACGGGUGGCAGCAGUGGGGAAUAUUGGGCAAUGGGCGCAAGCCUGACCCAGCAACGCCGCGUGAAGGAAGAAGGCUUUCGGGUUGUAAACUUCUUUUCUCAGGGACGAAGCAAGUGACGGUACCUGAGGAAUAAGCCACGGCUAACUACGUGCCAGCAGCCGCGGUAAUACGUAGGUGGCAAGCGUUAUCCGGAUUUACUGGGUGUAAAUGGCGUGUAGGCGGGGACGGAAGGCAGAUGUGAAAACCAGGGGCUCAACCUGGGGCCGGCAUUUGAAACGGUGGUUCUUGAGUCGUGGAGAGGCAGACGGAAGUCCUAGGGUAGCGGUGAAAGGCGUAGAUAUUAGGAGGAACACCAGUGGCGAAGGAGGACUGCUGGACAGCAACUGACGCUGGGGCGCGAAAGCGUGGGGAGCAAACAGGAUUAGAUACCCUUUAGUC
rnacentral:rRNA from 1 species